rnacentral:rRNA from 1 species
GGACUACACGGGUUUCUAAUCCUGUUUGCUCCCCACGCUUUCGCAGUUGAGUGUCAGUUACUGUCCAGGUCGCCGCCUUCGCCGCUGGUGUUCCUCCCGAUCUCUACGCAUUUCACCGCUACACCGGGAAUUCCACGACCCUCUCCAGUACUCUAGUCUCGCCGUUUCUGAGGCACUUCUCGAGUUAAGCUCAAGGCUUUCACCCCAGACAAACGAGACCACCUACCUGCCCUUUACGCCCAAUAAUUCCGAGCAACGCUUGCACCCUCCGUAUUACCGCGGCUGCUGGCAC